rnacentral:rRNA from 1 species
GGGACACGUGGUAUCCUGUCUGAAUAUGGGGGGACCAUCCUCCAAGGCUAAAUACUCCUGACUGACCGAUAGUGAACCAGUACCGUGAGGGAAAGGCGAAAAGAACCCCGGCGAGGGGAGUGAAAAAGAACCUGAAACCGUGUACGUACAAGCAGUGGGAGCACAGAGCAAUCUGUGUGACUGCGUACCUUUUGUAUAAUGGGUCAGCGACUUAUAUUCUGUAGCAAGGUUAACCGAAUAGGGGAGCCGAAGGGAAACCGAGUCUUAACUGGGCGUUAAGUUGCAGGGUAUAGACCCGAAACCCGGUGAUCUAGCCAUGGGCAGGUUGAAGGUUGGGUAACACUAACUGGAGGACCGAACCGACUAAUGUUGAAAAAUUAGCGGAUGACUUGUGGCUGGGGGUGAAAGGCCAAUCAAACCGGGAGAUAGCUGGUUCUCCCCGAAAGCUAUUUAGGUAGCGCCUCGUGAAUUCAUCUCCGGGGGUAGAGCACUGUUUCGGCAAGGGGGUCAUCCCGACUUACCAACCCGAUGCAAACUGCGAAUACCGGAGAAUGUUAUCACGGGAGACACACGGCGGGUGCUAACGUCCGUCGUGAAGAGGGAAACAACCCAGACCGCCAGCUAAGGUCCCAAAGUCAUGGUUAAGUGGGAAACGAUGUGGGAAGGCCCAGACAGCCAGGAUGUUGGCUUAGAAGCAGCCAUCAUUUAAAGAAAGCGUAAUAGCUCACUGGUCGAGUCGGCCUGCGCGGAAGAUGUAACGGGGCUAAACCAUGCACCGAAGCUGCGGCAGCGACGCUGAUGCGUUGUUGGGUAGGGGAGCGUUCUGUAAGCCUGUGAAGGUGUGCUGUGAGGGAUGCUGGAGGUAUCAGAAGUGCGAAUGCUGACAUAAGUAACGAUAAAGCGGGUGAAAAGCCCGCUCGCCGGAAGACCAAGGGUUCCUGUCCAACGUUAAUCGGGGCAGGGUGAGUCGACCCCUAAGGCGAGGCCGAAAGGCGUAGUCGAUGGGAAACAGGUUAAUAUUCCUGUACUUGGUGUUACUGCGAAGGGGGGACGGAGAAGGCUAUGUUGGCCGGGCGACGGUUGUCCCGGUUUAAGCGUGUAGGCUGGUUUUCCAGGCAAAUCCGGAAAAUCAAGGCUGAGGCGUGAUGACGAGGCACUACGGUGCUGAAGCAACAAAUGCCCUGCUUCCAGGAAAAGCCUCUAAGCAUCAGGUAACAUCAAAUCGUACCCCAAACCGACACAGGUGGUCAGGUAGAGAAUACCAAGGCGCUUGAGAGAACUCGGGUGAAGGAACUAGGCAAAAUGGUGCCGUAACUUCGGGAGAAGGCACGCUGAUAUGUAGGUGAAGUCCCUCGCGGAUGGAGCUGAAAUCAGUCGAAGAUACCAGCUGGCUGCAACUGUUUAUUAAAAACACAGCACUGUGCAAACACGAAAGUGGACGUAUACGGUGUGACGCCUGCCCGGUGCCGGAAGGUUAAUUGAUGGGGUCAGCGCAAGCGAAGCUCUUGAUCGAAGCCCCGGUAAACGGCGGCCGUAACUAUAACGGUCCUAAGGUAGCGAAAUUCCUUGUCGGGUAAGUUCCGACCUGCACGAAUGGCGUAAUGAUGGCCAGGCUGUCUCCACCCGAGACUCAGUGAAAUUGAACUCGCUGUGAAGAUGCAGUGUACCCGCGGCAAGACGGAAAGACCCCGUGAACCUUUACUAUAGCUUGACACUGAACAUUGAGCCUUGAUGUGUAGGAUAGGUGGGAGGCUUUGAAGUGUGGACGCCAGUCUGCAUGGAGCCGACCUUGAAAUACCACCCUUUAAUGUUUGAUGUUCUAACGUUGACCCGUGAUCCGGGUUGCGGACAGUGUCUGGUGGGUAGUUUGACUGGGGCGGUCUCCUCCUAAAGAGUAACGGAGGAGCACGAAGGUUGGCUAAUCCUGGUCGGACAUCAGGAGGUUAGUGCAAUGGCAUAAGCCAGCUUGACUGCGAGCGUGACGGCGCGAGCAGGUGCGAAAGCAGGUCAUAGUGAUCCGGUGGUUCUGAAUGGAAGGGCCAUCGCUCAACGGAUAAAAGGUACUCCGGGGAUAACAGGCUGAUACCGCCCAAGAGUUCAUAUCGACGGCGGUGUUUGGCACCUCGAUGUCGGCUCAUCACAUCCUGGGGCUGAAGUAGGUCCCAAGGGUAUGGCUGUUCGCCAUUUAAAGUGGUACGCGAGCUGGGUUUAGAACGUCGUGAGACAGUUCGGUCCCUAUCUGCCGUGGGCGCUGGAGAACUGAGGGGGGCUGCUCCUAGUACGAGAGGACCGGAGUGGACGCAUCACUGGUGUUCGGGUUGUCAUGCCAAUGGCACUGCCCGGUAGCUAAAUGCGGAAGAGAUAAGUGCUGAAAGCAUCUAAGCACGAAACUUGCC